AAGUCGUAACAAGGUUUCCGUAGGUGAACCUGCGGAAGGAUCAUUAACACGUUUUCCAAACGAUAAACCAAACCGUGAACUCGUUAACACUUAUCCCUGACUCAUGUGGGAAUGCGGCUUUGACUCGCGCCUCGGCAGGCUGUGAACUGAACUUGGCAGGAUUUUCUGCGCCAAGGCAGAACGGCAUACGUGCGGGUCUGAAGUCUGCGUCUCUUAGCGAAGUGAUGUCUGACCGAUCGCCAUAUCGAGAUCGUCUCUCGCUGUUUAAAGGAGAACCCUGCAGUCAGAUGUGAUGAAGCCGAUAUGUACAUACCAUGAUAUUGAAGUCGAAGUAAUUCUAAGUUAAGGGAGAAAUCUCUAAACUUUGAAGUAAAACUAUACGUACAACUCUUAGCAACGGAUAUCUUGGUUCUC
rnacentral:misc_RNA from 1 species